rnacentral:rRNA from 1 species
UACGAAGGGUGCAAACGUUAAUCGGAAUUACUGGGCGUAAAGCGUGCGCAGACGGUCACGUAAGUCGGGUGUGAAAGCCCCGGGCUCAACCUGGGAAUUGCAUUCGAGACUGCGUGGCUAGGGUGCGGAAGAGGGAAGCGGAAUUUCCGGUGUAGCGGUGAAAUGCGUAGAUAUCGGAAGGAACACCAGUGGCGAAAGCGGCUUCCUGGUCCAGCACCGACGUCAGGCACGAAAGCGUGGGGAGCAAACAGG